GCGUAACGCGUAUAGAACCUACCUUAUAGUAAGGGAUAGCCCAGAGAAAUUUGGAUUAAUACCUUAUAGUAUUAUUGAUUGGCAUCGAUUAAUAAUUAAAGAUUUAUUGCUAUAAGAUGGCUAUGCGUUCUAUUAGCUAGUUGGUAUGGUAACGGCAUACCAAGGCUACGAUAGAUAGGGGUCCUGAGAGGGAGAUCCCCCACACUGGUACUGAGACACGGACCAGACUCCUACGGGAGGCAGCAGUGAGGAAUAUUGGACAAUGGAGGCAACUCUGAUCCAGCCAUGCCGCGUGUAGGAAGACUGCCCUAUGGGUUGUAAACUACUUUUAUAGAGGAAGAAACCCCGAUAUGUAUAUCGGUCUGACGGUACUCUACGAAUAAGGAUCGGCUAACUCCGUGCCAGCAGCCGCGGUAAUACGGAGGAUCCAAGCGUUAUCCGGAAUCAUUGGGUUUAAAGGGUCCGUAGGCGGUUUUGUAAGUCAGUGGUGAAAGUUUUCGGCUUAACCGGAAAAUUGCCAUUGAUACUGCAAGACUUGAAUUAUUGUGAAGUGGUUAGAAUGUGUAGUGUAGCGGUGAAAUGCAUAGAUAUUACACAGAAUACCGAUUGCGAAGGCAGAUCACUAACAAUAUAUUGACGCUAAGGGACGAAAGCGUGGGUAGCGAACAGGAUUAGAUACCCUGGUAGUCCACGCCGUAAACGAUGGUUACUAGCUGUUCGGACUUCGGUCUGAGUGGCUAAGCGAAAGUGAUAAGUAACCCACCUGGGGAGUACGUUCGCAAGAAUGAAACUCAAAGGAAUUGACGGGGGCCCG
rnacentral:rRNA from 1 species